AUGAGUAGCCGCCGCCGCCCACGCUCGCCGCCGCCGGUGCCGCCGCUGGAGGACGACAACCUGCUCUCUGAGAUCCUCCUCCGACCCCCCCCAGAUCCGUCCUCCCUCCCUCGCGCCUCCCUCGUCGCCAAGCGCUGGCUCGGCCUCGUCUCCGACCCCAGCUUCUCCCGCCGCUUCCGCCUCCACCACCGCCGCAACCCUCCCCUCCUCGGUUUCUUCGAGGGCUCGCACUUCGAACCUACAAUGGAUCCGCCCAAUCGUGUCCCGGAAGGUCACUUCUCCUACGAGCACACCGACGACGACGGCUACGGCUGCUUCAGACCCUUGGGAUGGCGCCAUGGCCUCCAACUCAUCUUCCACGAAUCGGAGUCGGAGAAGCUGGUCCUGGUGCGGGACCCCUUCAACGGCGACAAACACCGCCUACCCGUUCCCCCGGGGUUGGAUGGGGAGGAGACCCCGACCAGCGGGGCGGUGUUUCGCGCUGCCGGAGACAUCCAACACUUCCACGUUGUCUUGGUAGACACAGAGACAAACCAACAUCAUACACGGGCAAUUGCCCGCGUCUACUCAUCGGAGACUGGCAUAUGGGGAAAUCUCAUGGCCACACCGCUUCCACCAAUGCCUUCGAGUUCUAUGGACGAACAUCCCACCAUGAUUGGAAUAUGGUUUACCAUCGGUGUGCUAGUUGGGCAUUCCAUUUAUUGGUUGCUCACCGAUACAUCGGCAGAAACUAGCAUGUUAGAUGGUAUCCUUGAGUUUGAUUUGGAGACGCAGAUUUUAGCUGUGAUACCUGUGCCCACGGAUAUUGCCAAUAAUUGUAUUAGCCGAUUCCAGGUUAUGCGGGCAGAAGGUGGUGGCCUUGGUAUUCUCUUUCUAUCAAAUUUCAGUGCCCAAUUAUGGAAGAUGGAGACUGAUUCCAAUGGUGUUGCUUCGUGGGUGCUGGGAAGAACUAUUGAACUAGAUAAGCUACUUCCCAUGAAUCCAAAGAAGAAGAAGAGAGGGCCACCCCUAAUGAUACGAGGGUUUGCUGAGUACAAUAAUGUGCUGUUCAUACGGACACCUGCUGGCUUCUUCACUCUUCAGCUUGAGUCACUGGAGUUCAAGGAACUUUUCAAAUCCGACAUCUAUUAUCCAUUUGAAAGUGUCUAUGCUGCAGGUAAUGGCCCGAGCAUUGGUGGUGGACAUGAUGGAGCUGAACUUUUGCAUAAUACGUAA
rnacentral:rRNA from 1 species